GCCACAGGGAGUGGUAGUUUUAAAACAGGAAGGGAUGGAAAUAGGCUCUAAGAUAUUGCUGGGAGCCACCAAAGGUAAGCCAGCUAUGGCAGGAUGUUGGGCCCCUGAUAGCUCCUGAGACACUGGCCCUGUCUAGGCAUAGAUUCAUUAGACGUGGACCCAAACCAGUAGAAAAAGCCUUUAUUUAAGGACUGAGCAAGUCUUUGCAACCUAGGGGUGCAGGUGAACAGGAUAAAGGAAACAUUUUAGAGUAAGAUUUCAGGGGACUGAAGAAACACUGACAUUCAGGAAAAGCAGAAGAGAUUCUUACAAGUUCAGUGCCCACAUCAUAAGGAAAAAAUUCUCUGAAGACCAGGAUGGGAUUCAAGGGUGUUAUGUUGAAUAGAGGCAUGCAAAGGAAGUACUUAACGUGCAGGCCAGGACCAGAGACGGUGCACUAGGUAGAGUGCGGCAUCCAGCAAAAGUAUUUCAAGGAGCAAGCUCCCAUCUGGCUAGGCAGCAACCACUGCCAGGCUGCCCCUUGGGGAAGCAGCAGAGAGGCAAUAAGCCAGCACCCUCCACUCCCAUGGGCACCCUACAGGGAAAUGCACGGGAGCUGAUGGAUGUGAUUACUGUGAUUACUGCAGCAACGUGGGUCAGGGUGAAGGGAGCUCUUCUCUCGCAUGGAGCACCAAUUUGCCUGAGCUGUAAGGAGAACUGAACUGACUGUUUCCCAAGGGGUGUGGGGCUGAGCAAAUGAUGCUGUUAACUCUCUCCAUGUGCAACCAUACAUACCUUUUACCAUAUGUCUGUCAACCUGAUGUUUGUUACUGUAUGUCAAACACAUUCAAAAUCUUUUGCAGAUCUCAGAAUAAUAUGCUUAGGCACAAUGUGAUGGUGAUGGCAGAAACACUGUGAAGUUCUGAGUGGUUCAUCUGUCUCAUUUUGAUUAAAGUCAUAAUCCAGUGAUCUUAGGUUUAAAUGAAAAAAAAUAUAGAUCUCAAAAUACUUCAGAUAUAAA
rnacentral:lncRNA from 1 species